rnacentral:rRNA from 1 species
GACGAACGCUGGAGGCGUGCUUAACACAUGCAAGUCGAACGAUGAAAUGGAGCUUGCUCCAUGGAUUAGUGGCGAACGGGUGAGUAACACGUGAAUAACCUGCCCUUAAUUUUGGAAUAACCCAGGGAAACCUGGGCUAAUACCGGAUAAGUAAACCUGUGGCAUCACAUGGUUUUGGAAAGUUUUUCGAUUAAGGAUGGAUUCGCGGCCUAUCAGCUUGUUGGUGAGGUAAUGGCUCACCAAGGCGACGACGGGUAGCCGGCCUGAGAGGGUGAACGGCCACAGUGGGACUGAGACACGGCCCAGACUCCUACGGGAGGCAGCAGUGGGGAAUAUUGCGCAAUGGACGAAAGUCUGACGCAGCGACGCCUCGUGAGGGACGAAGGUCUUCGGAUUGUAAACCUCUUUCAGCAGGGACGAAGCGAAAGUGACGGUACCUGCAGAAGAAGCACCGGCUAACUAUGUGCCAGCAGCCGCCGCCG